rnacentral:rRNA from 1 species
UUGCCAGCCCGCUCAGAAACUUAAGGAAUUGACGGGGGCCCGCACAAGCGGUGGAGCAUGUGGUUUAAUUCGAUGAUACGCGAGGAACCUUACCUGGGCUCAAAUGUAUGUUGACGUAUUCUGAAAGGGAUACUUCUUCGGACAAUAUACAAGGUGCUGCAUGGUUGUCGUCAGCUCGUGCCGUGAGGUGUCGGGUUAAGUCCCAUAACGAGCGCAACCCCUAUCAUUAGUUGCCAUCAGGUCAAGCUGGGGACUCUAAUGAAACUGCCUACGCAAGUAGUGAGGAAGGUGGGGAUGACGUCAAAUCAGCACGGCCCUUACGUCCAGGGCUACACACGUGCUACAAUGGCCGGUACAAAGGGCAGCUACCUGGUGACAGGAUGCUAAUCUCAAAAGCCGGUCUCAGUUCGGAUCGGAGUCUGCAACCCGACUCCGUGAAACUGGAAUCGCUAGUAAUCGCGCAUCAGCCAUGGCGCGGUGAAUACGUUCCCGGGCCUU